UCCGGAGGGGGCUAGCGUUGUUCGGAAUUACUGGGCGUAAAGCGCACGUAGGCGGCUUUGUAAGUUAGAGGUGAAAGCCCAGGGCUCAACCCUGGAAUUGCCUUUAAGACUGCAUCGCUAGAAUUGUGGAGAGGUAAGUGGAAUUCCGAGUGUAGAGGUGAAAUUCGUAGAUAUUCGGAAGAACACCAGUGGCGAAGGCGACUUACUGGACACAUAUUGACGCUGAGGUGCGAAAUCGUGGGGAGCAAACAGG
rnacentral:rRNA from 1 species